UCGAGCGGUACAGAGAGUAGCUUGCUACUCUGCUGACGAGCGGCGGACGGGUGAGUAAUGCUUGGGAAUAUGCCUUAUGGUGGGGGACAACAGUUGGAAACGACUGCUAAUACCGCAUGAUGUCUACGGACCAAAGUGGGGGACCUUCGGGCCUCACGCCAUAAGAUUAGCCCAAGUGGGAUUAGCUAGUUGGUGAGGUAAUGGCUCACCAAGGCGACGAUCCCUAGCUGGUUUGAGAGGAUGAUCAGCCACACUGGGACUGAGACACGGCCCAGACUCCUACGGGAGGCAGCAGUGGGGAAUAUUGCACAAUGGGCGCAAGCCUGAUGCAGCCAUGCCGCGUGUGUGAAGAAGGCCUUAGGGUUGUAAAGCACUUUCAGUAAGGAGGAAAGGUUAAGUGUUAAUAGCUCUUAGCUGUGACGUUACUUACAGAAGAAGCAACGGCUAACUCCGUGCCAGCAGCCGCGGUAAUACGGAGGGUGCGAGCGUUAAUCGGAAUUACUGGGCGUAAAGCGUACGCA
rnacentral:rRNA from 1 species